rnacentral:lncRNA from 1 species
AGACUAGCUGUUAAACAGGGCUUUUUCUCAGAAAGUUGUCAUAAUUGUGACUCCAUCAAAUUCUUCUAACAGCAAGUACUCGUUUGGGCCCAUUUUACAAAAGAAGGAAAAUUCUUGAGUGGCUCAAUCUUGGCUCGCCACAACCUCUGCCUCCUGGAUUCAAGCGAUUCUAUUCCCUAGCAUACCGAGAAGCUGGGAUUACAGUUUUGAAGAUGAAGAAAAACCGAAGAUAUAAGAACUGAGAUAAAAUGCCCAAGGACAUACAGCUUGAAAAAGGCGUGGCUAGAAUGUGCACUCAGUAUGACCUCAGCACCCAAGCUCUUUCUCAAUAUAUGCUGCAAUCUUAGGCUCAUCAACUGCACACAGUGAAUUGUGGUGCUACUUCGUCUAAGCCUGCAUUCUCCUUCAGAGCCUACACCUCCCUUUCAGUUGUUUUCACCUUCACUGUUCCAAAAAAAGCAGACUUUGAAAACUUAAGAAAUGACGUUAAAAAAAAAUCAAAAUCUA